rnacentral:rRNA from 1 species
GACGAACGCUGGCGGCGUGCUUAACACAUGCAAGUCGAACGGAAAGGCCCUGCUUUUGUGGGGUGCUCGAGUGGCGAACGGGUGAGUAACACGUGAGUAACCUGCCCUUGACUUUGGGAUAACUUCAGGAAACUGGGGCUAAUACCGGAUAGGAGCUCCUGCUGCAUGGUGGGGGUUGGAAAGUUUCGGCGGUUGGGGAUGGACUUGCGGCUUAUCAGCUUGUUGGUGGGGUAGUGGCUUACCAAGGCUUUGACGGGUAGCCGGCCUGAGAGGGUGACCGGCCACAUUGGGACUGAGAUACGGCCCAGACUCCUACGGGAGGCAGCAGUGGGGAAUAUUGCACAAUGGGCGGAAGCCUGAUGCAGCAACGCCGCGUGCGGGAUGACGGCCUUCGGGUUGUAAACCGCUUUCGCCUGUGACGAAGCGUGAGUUACGGUAAUGGGUAAAGAAGCACCGGCUAACUACGUG